rnacentral:rRNA from 1 species
GAUGAACGCUAGCGAUAGGCUUAACACAUGCAAGUCGAGGGGCAGCAUUAUUUUAGCUUGCUAAGAUAGAUGGCGACCGGCGCACGGGUGCGUAACGCGUAUGCAACCUGCCUGUAAUUAGGGAAUAACCCGGUGAAAGUCGGACUAAUACCCUAUAUUCAUCUUUCUCCGCAUGGAGAGGGAUGGAAAGAUUUAUUGAUUACAGAUGGGCAUGCGUCCCAUUAGCUUGUUGGUAAGGUAACGGCUUACCAAGGCAACGAUGGGUAGGGGGACUGAGAGGUUGACCCCCCACACUGGUACUGAGACACGGACCAGACUCCUACGGGAGGCAGCAGUGAGGAAUAUUGGUCAAUGGGCGAGAGCCUGAACCAGCCAAGUCGCGUGAAGGACGACGGUUCUAUGGAUUGUAAACUUCUUUUGUAGAGGAAUAAUGGCAGCUACGUGUAGCUGAGAUGCAUGUACUCUACGAAUAAGUAUCGGCUAACUCCGUGCCAGCAGCCGCGGUAAUACGGAGGAUACGAGCGUUAUCCGGAAUUAUUGGGUUUAAAGGGUGCGUAGGUGGCGUAUUGAGUCAGUGGUGAAAAGCUGCAGCUCAACUGUAGUCUUGCCGUUGAAACUGAUAUGCUAGAGAGGAGACGAGGUAUGCGGAAUGUGUGGUGUAGCGGUGAAAUGCAUAGAUAUCACACAGAACGCCGAUUGCGAAGGCAGCGUACCAGGCUCCGUCUGACACUGAAGCACGAAAGCGUGGGGGAUCAAACAGGAUUAUAUACCCUGGUAGUCCAAGGGCGAAUUCCACAGUGGAUAUCAAGCUUUAUCGAUACCGUCAACCUCGAGGGGAGGGCCCCGGUACCCAGCUUUUGUUCCCUUUGUGAGGGGUUAUUUAUUGCUGUGUUUGUUUUUUUUAUUUUGUUUGUUGUGUUUGUUGUUGUGCGCUGUUCUGUUGUGUUGUUGCAUGUCUUUGUGUUUUUAUUUGGUGUGUUGCUUUGUUGUGUGUGAUGGUUUGUGUGUUGUUGGCUGUGUGUGUGUGUGGUGGUGUGGUGUGUUGUUGUUUGUGUGUUUUGUGUUUGUGUGGUGAAUGGUGAGGUGGUGUUGUGGAGUGUGUUGCCAGAUGUAGCUGGUGUGGUGUUUUGUUAUGAUUGUUAGUUAUGAUGUAUGUGUGUGCUGUUUAUGUGGAAUAUAGUAUGUAAAUGUGUGAUGUAGUC